rnacentral:rRNA from 1 species
ACUAACGCUCAGAUGCGAAAAGCGUGGGGAGCAAAACAGGAAUUAGAUACCCUGGGUAGUCCACGCCGUAAACGAUGUCUACUUGGAGGUUGUGGCCUUGAGCCGUGGCUUUCGGAGCUAACGCGUUAAGUAGACCGCCUGGGGAGUACGGUCGCAAGAUUAAAACUCAAAUGAAUUGACGGGGGCCCGCACAAGCGGUGGAGCAUGUGGUUUAAUUNGAUGCAACGCGAAGAACCUUACCUACUCUUGACAUCCAGAGAAGCUUGAAGAGAUUCGAGUGUGCCUUCGGGAACUCUGAGACAGGCGCUGCAUGGCUGUCGUCAGCUCGUGUUGUGAAAUGUUGGGUUAAGUCCCGCAACGAGCGCAACCCUUAUCCUUGUUUGCCAGCACUUCGGGUGGGAACUCCAGGGAGACUGCCGGUGAUAAACCGGAGGAAGGUGGGGACGACGUCAAGUCAUCAUGGCCCUUACGAGUAGGGCUACACACGUGCUACAAUGGCAUAUACAGAGGGCAGCAAGACCGCGAGGUGGAGCGAAUCCCAGAAAGUAUGUCGUAGUCCGGAUCGGAGUCUGCAACUCGACUCCGUGAAGUCGGAAUCGCUAGUAAUCGUGGAUCAGAAUGCCACGGUGAAUACGUUCCCGGGCCUUGUACACACCGCCCGUCACACCAUGGGAGUGGGCUGCACCAGAAGUAGAUAGCUUAACCUUCGGGAGGGCGUUUACCACGGUGUGGUUCAUGACUGGGGUGAAGUCGUAACAAGGNAACCG